CAGGAUGAACGCUGGCGGCGCGCCUAACACAUGCAAGUCGAACGGUUAAAGCACCCUCGGGUGUGAAUAGAGUGGCGAACGGCUGAGUAACACGUGGGCAACCUGCCCCUCGCACCGGGACAGCCUCGGGAAACCGUGGGUAAUACCGGAUACGCCGCCGCCCCCGCAUGGGGGAGGCGGGAAAGCCCAGACGGCGAGGGAUGGGCCCGCGGCCUGUUAGCUAGUUGGUGGGGUAACGGCCCACCAAGGCCAUUAUGGGUAGCUGGGUUGAGAGACCGACCAGCCAGAUUGGGACUGAGACACGGCCCAGACUCCUACGGGAGGCAGCAGUGGGGAAUCUUGCACAAUGGGCGAAAGCCUGAUGCAGCGACGCCGCGUGCGGGACGAAGGCCUUCGGGUUGUAAACCGCUUUCAGCAGGGACGAGGCCGAGAGGUGACGGUACCUGCAGAAGAAGCCCCGGCUAACUACGUGCCAGCCGCCGC
rnacentral:rRNA from 1 species